rnacentral:lncRNA from 1 species
AUGGCACCUUGUGCUUUUCUACUAUUACAACUCUCAACACGACGACUACAUUUACAAAUGGCACCUUGUGAUUUUCUGCUAUUACAACUCUCAACACGACGACUACAUUUACAAAUGGCACCUUGUGCUUUUCUGCUCUUACAACUCAACGACUAUAUUUACAAAUGGGACCUUGUUCUUUUCUACUAUUACAACUCAACACGACGACUACAUUUACAAAUGGCACCUUGUGCUUUUCUGCUAUUACAACUCUCAACACGACGACUACAUUUACAAAUGGCACCUUGUGCUUUUCUGCUAUUACAACUCUCAACACGACGACUACAUUUACAAAUGGCACCUUGUGCUUUUCUACUAUUACAACUCAACGACUAUAUUUACAAAUGGCACCUUGUUCUUUUCUACUAUUACAACUCAACGACUACAUUUACAAAUGGCACCUUGUGCUUUUCUACUAUUACAACUCAACGACUAUAUUUACAAAUGGCACCUUGUUCUUUUCUACUAUUACAACUCUCAACACGACGACUACAUUUACAAAUGGCACCUUGUGCUUUUCUGCUAUUACAACUCAAUGACGACAUUUACAAUGGCACCUUGUUCUUUUCUACUAUUACAACUCUCAACACGACGACUACAUUUACAAAUGGCACCUUGUGCUUUUCUACUAUUACAACUCAACACGACGACUACAUUUACAAAUGGCACCUUGUUCUUUUCUACUAUUACAACUCAACGACUACAUUUACAAAUGGCACCUUGUGCUUUUCUACUAUUACAACUCAACGACUACAUUUACAAAUGGCACCUUGUUCUUUUCUGCUAUUACAACUCAACGACUACAUUUACAAAUGGCACCUUGUUCUUUUCUGCUAUUACAACUCAACGACUACAUUUACAAAUGGCACCUUGUUCUUUUCUGCUAUUACAACUCAACGACUACAUUUACAAAUGGCACCUUGUUCUUUACUAUUACAACUCAAUGACUACAUUUACAAAUGGCACCUUGUGCUUUUCUACUAUUACAACUCUCAACACGACGACUACAUUUACAAAUGGCACCUUGUUCUUUUCUACUAUUACAACUCAACGACUACAUUUACAAAUGGCACCUUGUGCUUUUCUACUAUUACAACUCAACACGACGACUACAUUUACAAAUGGCACCUUGUGCUUUUCUACUAUUACAACUCAACGACUACAUUUACAAAUGGCACCUUGUUCUUUUCUACUAUUACAACUCAACGACUACAUUUACAAAUGGCACCUUGUUCUUUUCUACUAUUACAACUCAACGACUACAUUUACAAAUGGCACCUUGUUCUUUUCUGCUAUUACAACUCAACGACUACAUUUACAAAUGGCACCUUGUUCUUUUCUGCUAUUACAACUCAACGACUACAUUUACAAAUGGCACCUUGUUCUUUUCUGCUAUUACAACUCAACGACUACAUUUACAAAUGGCACCUUGUUCUUUUCUACUAUUACAACUCAACGACUACAUUUACAAAUGACACCUUGUUCUUUUCUACUAUUACAACUCAACGACUACAUUUACAAAUGGCACCUUGUGCUUUUCUACUAUUACAACUCAACGACUACAUUUACAAAUGGCACCUUGUUCUUUUCUACUAUUACAACUCAACGACUACAUUUACAAAUGGCACCUUGUUCUUUUCUACUAUUACAACUCAACGACUACAUUUACAAAUGGCACCUUGUGCUUUUCUACUAUUACAACUCAACGACUACAUUUACAAAUGGCACCUUGUUCUUUUCUACUAUUACAACUCAACGACUACAUUUACAAAUGGCACCUUGUUCUUUUCUACUAUUACAACUCAACGACUACAUUUACAAAUGGCACCUUGUGCUUUUCUACUAUUACAACUCAACGACUACAUUUACAAAUGGCACCUUGUUCUUUUCUACUAUUACAACUCAACACGACCACGUUCCUUAUUUUAUUUGUAUUUUCUUUACCCUCUUCUUCAUGAUAGCCAAUUGGUAGUUACAAGUCUUGUCUCAUGGCUGCAACAUCUCGUAAGGACUCGGGAGAGGCGAAGGUCGAGAACCAAUGCGUCCCUCCGAAACACGAUCCCGCCAAGCCGCACUGCUGCUGGACACAGUCGGAAGAAACACUGUACCAGCUGGCGACCGAAGUCAGCGCGCACUGCGCCCGGCCCGCCACAAGGAGUCGCUAGAGCGCGAUGA